CACCACUCCUAGCCAACCAAAAUAUACAAAUCUACCCCUCAACAACAUAAAUUUUAAGGAUAUUUAUGAUAAUUUACGCAAUUUUAAGUAAACACCUCUCGUGCCCUCUAUCAAUUAAAAAUGCCAAAAUGCCCCUAUUAAAAAGACAAUCAUGCCCUCAAAGUCUAGCCAAAAGGCUUUUUUUUAAGGGUAAAGUGGUAAAUUCAUUGUUCUCAUCCACAUAACUCUGAAUUCACCGCAGAUAAUAGUUUUUUUAAUGGAAUUUAUCAGCUAUGCUCACACUUAACACCAAGAGUUUAGAUAACACCCUUGCUCACAGUU